AGGGAAUCAUCCUUGGUGGUAGCAAAUAUAUGCAUAUGUUUUGUUAUCAAAAUAAUGCUUAAUCAAUCUGAAACACCAAUCUGUUUUCCACUCCUCUUACAUUGGGUUAAUAAACAGUUUGAUAACGAUAAAAAAGUAUGGCACUCGUAUUGUUAAAUGGACGACAAUAAAAAAUUACCUACAUGUAUGCAUUAAUAUGUGGUCUGACAAUAUAUUUUCUAAUUUCAUUUAUAUGAUUUAUAGAUGUAUUAUUACCCCAAAUUAUCAAUUUGUAAAAAGAUAAAGUGUGUUACUUUUUUUUUUUUACUUUAUACGAAUAUUUUAGAUCUGGAUUUUAAAUGUUGAUAUACAGUGUUGGGUGUUUUGAUAACGUUUUCGAUGCAUUGUCUUAACCAUUCUUAUAUUGUAUUACGUAUACAAUAAAAUACACAUAAA
rnacentral:sRNA from 1 species